UACGAGGGGUGCAAGCGUUGCUCGGAAUUAUUGGGCGUAAAGGGUUGGUAGGUGGUCUUGUUUGUCUAGGGUGAAAUCCCCAUGGCUUAACUGUGGAAGUGCCCUAGAAACGGCAAGACUAGAGUCCUAGAGGGGUUUGUGGAAUUCCCGGUGUAGCGGUGAAAUGCGUAGAGAUCGGGAGGAACACCAGCGGCGAAGGCGGCAAACUGGAUAGGCACUGACACUCAACAACGAAAGCGUGGGGAGCAAACAGG
rnacentral:rRNA from 1 species